UACGGAGGGUGCAAGCGUUAUCCGGAUUCACUGGGUUUAAAGGGUGCGUAGGUGGGUCUGUAAGUCAGUGGUGAAAUCUCUAUGCUUAACAUGGAAACUGCCAUUGAUACUAUAGGUCUUGAAUUUUCUGGAGGUGAGCGGAAUAUGUCAUGUAGCGGUGAAAUGCUUAGAUAUGACAUAGAACACCAAUUGCGAAGGCAGCUCACUGCAGGAACAUUGACACUGAGGCACGAAAGCGUGGGGAUCAAACAGG
rnacentral:rRNA from 1 species